GACCUAAAGAUCUACAACUAAGACUCACCUCUUAAAGCUUCCUCGGCCUCCCAGUAGCAUCAGGCUAGGGACUAAGCCUUUACACAUGGAACUUUGGGAGACAUUUAAGGUCUGGUCUAUAACAGGUCCUCUAGGAAAUCUGUGUCAGCCUUUCGUCCGGUCUUUCCCUCCCAUUGCCUGUGCUCUGUCAUCUCGCUCGGUAGACCCCCGCAAAGAAAUGCCACCUGGGAACACAGAACACCAGGCUGUUUAGCCCAUCAUUCUCCCCAUCCAAACAUCCCCAGCUUACAUCCCAUUCAUUAUCUCUGACCUGUUUCCUUCCAGCCUCCUGAAAUGCCGCUGCCCUUGGAGACCUCCAGACUCCACAGCUGUUUGGAGAGAGACUGGCCAGGCCUCCCCAGUGCCCUCAGUGUGGAUUCAGCAUCACAGCCACCCUCAAGAGCCAGAUGGACCCAGAGAGCCAUAUCCUGCUAGGGCUUUGGGGCUCCCUGUAUGCUUGGUCUGUACGAAAUAAAGUUGGUUUCCUUGGCAUCCUUUCUGCUGACCACGGUCACCCAUGGUCAUCCAUCCCUGACCAUGCCACCUGGGGUGCUGGAAGAUUGAUGGGGUGCACUAGGGUAUAAGGGUCCUCAAGAGUGGAAUCAGCCCAGCCUGUCAGGCAGGGUAGACACUGCCAUCGUUCUCCCCGUGUGUGUAUAUGCAGUAGCCUUCCUCUUUCUCUUCACCCAGCCACUUGAGCUGGAGCGUGGCCUCCUCCAGAAAGUCUUGCCAGAUCACCAAACUGAAAUAGAUGCUCAUUCUCCAUGCUCCUUGAAUCCCUUCCUCAGCUCUUUUGUUUUCCCCUAUUUAUGCAUUUACAUUGUGUGUGCAAAAAUUUGUGUGAGCAUGUAAGAAACUGAUGAAUGAAUGAAUCAAUGAGCCAGUGAACAAAUAAAUGAGCCCAUGCAGCCUGAAGGCAUGGGGCACAUUGAUUUUUUAUCUCUAUAAAUGUGCACUCACAUCAACAUUCGAGAACCUGUGAUCACCCACACAGCCCUCCAUCCACCUCCUCAUACACAGAGCCCUACCACCCCCACCCCCACUCACACAUUUAAACAUACACUGGCACCAGAAACUACAUCCCAGCAC
ensembl:lncRNA